GCCAUAGUGCAGUAGAUAGCACGCGUCCGCCUCUGGAAAGGGUGAGACGAGGGUUCAACACCCGCCUGAGGCU